rnacentral:rRNA from 1 species
UACGGAGGAUCCAAGCGUUGUCCGGAUUUAUUGGGUUUAAAGGGUGCGUAGGCGGAUCUUUAAGUCAGUGGUGAAAGCCUGCAGCUCAACUGUAGAAUUGCCAUUGAAACUGAAGAUCUUGAAUUAGGUUAAAGUAGGCGGAAUGUAUCAUGUAGCGGUGAAAUGCUUAGAUAUGAUACAGAACACCGAUAGCGAAGGCAGCUUGCUGAACCUAUAUUGACGCUGAGGCACGAAAGCGUGGGGAGCGAACAGGAUUAGAUACCCUGGUAGUCCACGCCCUAAACGUUGAUUACUCGUUGUUGGCGAUAUAUAGUCAGCGACCAAGCUAAAGCGUUAAGUAAUCCACCUGGGAAGUACGACCGCAAGGUUG